rnacentral:lncRNA from 1 species
CUAGCCUGCAGUUCAACAACAAAGCUAUAAACCAGUACCAGCUCCUAGGCGAAGUCUCAGUACUGGUGGAACAUUAGAUCGUAUCAAACGAUCUGACGAGGAGACUGUAUCGGUCCAGUUAUUACGCGGUCAGCAAGGUUAUGGAUUUAGUUUACGAGGUGGUCAAGACCUUGGAAUGCCGUUGUUUAUUUUAAGAAUGGCUGAUGGUGGGACUGCACAUAGAGAUGGAAGAUUAAUGGUAAGAUUUACAGAGUUGUUUGUGAUGUUACUCUGAGUGUAUAUGAGCUUGAAAAACAUGCCCGGCCACGGUGGGAAUCGAACCUUCGACCUUUGGAAUACUAGGCCCAAUGCUCUGCUAACUGAGCUACGCGGUCAGGUCAGUUCGAGUAAGUGAUAUUUCGGAACAGAAUCUAGUUCCUGAUUUUUUCUGUGUUAGAGUUGUGUACUCAGGUGAAUAUGAUGUUUGUGAUGUUACUCUGAGUGUAUAUCCACACCGGGCGAGCUUGAAAUACAUGAGUACACAACACCUGAGUACACAACGCCAACACAGAAAAAAUCAUAUUUACCGAGUGUUUCAUCACAGUGGUUUAAUAGCAAAUGUCAAGUUAGUUUAGUUAAAGGUUUAAACUCCUGUAUAAAUAACGCCGCAGAAAAUUUUGUAUAAUUACAGCUUGUACAAUACUAGCAUUUUGUUCGAAUUUUUGUGACCGGAGCUAUACCUUAAUUUACACACAUGCGUAUUAGACAGUAACUUUGAGCCUUAUGGCGAGCAGAAAGUUUAUAUAUUUUAGUUUAUGUUUUGUUGGGUUUUUAACGGUAAAUAAAUUCAUCUUUUUUAUGAAAGUGAGUUUUUAAAGAGCCUAGGUAGAAUCAUACCGUAAGACUUUCAACAUCUCACUAAAAUAUUGUUUGUUUCGUUAAGGUUGGUGAUGAGUUGAUUGAAAUCAAUGGUCAGUCGACG